rnacentral:rRNA from 1 species
CUACGGGGCGCACCAGUGGGGAAUAUUGCACAAUGGAGGAAACUCUGAUGCAGCAACGCCGCGUGGAGGAUGACACUUUUCGGAGCGUAAACUCCUUUUAUAUAGGAAGAAGAUGACGGUACUAUAUGAAUAAGCGCCGGCUAACUCCGUGCCAGCAACCGCCGUAAUACGGAGGGCGCAAGCGUUACUCGGAAUCACUGGGCGUAAAGAGCGUGUAGGCGGAUUAAAAAGUCAGAAGUGAAAUCCUAUAGCUUAACUAUAGAACUGCUUCUGAAACUCUUAAUCUAGAAUAUGGGAGAGGUAGAUGGAAUUUCUGGUGUAGGGGUAAAAUCCGUAGAGAUCAGAAGGAAUACCGAUUGCGAAGGCGAUCUACUAGAACAUUAUUGACGCUGAGACGCGAAAGCGUGGGGAGCAGACAGGAUUAGAUACCCGAGUAGUC